AAGUGGUGUAUAAGAGACAGGUGAAUCAUCGAAUCUUUGAACGCACAUUGCGCCCCUUGGUAUUCCAUGGGGCAUGCCUGUUCGAGCGUCAUUUGUACCCUCAAGCUUUGCUUGGUGUUGGGCGUCUUGUCGUAUUACGACUCGCCUUAAAUUCAUUGGCAGCCGGCACUUUGGCCUAGGAGCGCAGCACAUUUUGCGAUCGUAGCCCGUUGUACUGGCGUCCAUCAAGAACAUUUACCACGUUUGACCUCGGAUCAGGUAGGGAUACCCGCUGAACUUAAGCAUAUCAAUAAGCGGAGG
rnacentral:misc_RNA from 1 species